AAGUCUGAUUUCUAUUUUUAUUGUGCUGUGGUCUGAGAGUGUAUUUGGUAUGAUUUUGUUUCUUUUAUAUGUGCUGAGGAUUAUUUUAUGUCUGAUUGUGUGGUCAGUUUUAGAGUAUGUACCAUGUGGUGAUGAUAAGAAUGUAUAUUUUGUUCAUUUUGGAUGGAGAGUUCUAUAGAGGUGGAUCAGAUCCAUUUGGUCCAAGGUUGAGUUCAGGUCCUGAAUAUUUUUGUUAAUUUUCUGCCUUGAUGAUCUGUCUAAUACUGUCAGUGGAGUUUUGAAAUCUCUCACUAUUGUUGUGUUAGAGUCUAAUACUCUUUGUAUGCCUCUAAGAACUUGCUUUACGAAUCUGGGUGCUUCUGUGUUGGAUACAUAUAUAUUUAGGAUAGUUAGAUCUUCUUGUUGAAUUGAACCCUUUACCAUUAUGUAAUACCCUUCUUUGUCUUUCUUGAUCUUUGUCAGUUUAACAUCUGUUUUAUGAGAGAGUAGGA